UACGGAGGGUGCAAGCGUUAUCCGGAUUUACUGGGUUUAAAGGGUGCGUAGGUGGAUUGGAAAGUUAGUGGUGAAAUACUACAGCGCAACUGUGGAACUGCCAUUAAUACUAUCAAUCUUGAAUACAGUGGAGGUGGGCGGAAUGUGUCAUGUAGCGGUGAAAUGCUUAGAUAUGACACAGAACACCAAUUGCGAAGGCAGCUUGCUACACUGUCAUUGACACUGAGGCACGAAAGCGUGGGGAUCAAACAGG
rnacentral:rRNA from 1 species